UACGUAGGGUGCAAGCGUUAUCCGGAAUUAUUGGGCGUAAAGAGCUCGUAGGCGGUUUGUCGCGUCGGCCGUGAAAUCUCCACGCUUAACGUGGAGCGUGCGGUCGAUACGGGCAGACUUGAGUUCGGUAGGGGAGACUGGAAUUCCUGGUGUAGCGGUGAAAUGCGCAGAUAUCAGGAGGAACACCAAUGGCGAAGGCAGAUCUCUGGGCCGUAACUGACGCUGAGGAGCGAAAGCAUGGGGAGCGAACAGG
rnacentral:rRNA from 1 species